AUACUUACCUGACACAGGGGAUACCGUCAUCACGAAGACGGUUCCUCAAGGACGAAGCUCUUCCAUUGCACUUCGUUACAUUGUUACAAUCUAUCCUUGAUUGUCCAUACUGUGGAAUUAACUAAUUUACUUAUUAUUAGACCGGGUCUGCGCGAACGCAAUCCGAUC